GGAGCCGACCGGGCAGUCGCUGUGGCUUUUGGCGCAGAGGAAAGUCCGGGCUCCACAGGGCAAGGUGCCAGGUAACGCCUGGGAGGCGCAAGCCUACGGAAAGUGCCACAGAAAAGAGACCGCCUACCCCCAAUUGGGGCGGCAAGGGUGAAAAGGUGCGGUAAGAGCGCACCGCAUCGGUAGUAAUACCGGUGGCAAGGUAAACCCCACCUGGAGCAAGACCAAAUAGGGGAACCAGCUGCUUUGCGGCGAGACGUGGCCCGCGUCGUUCCCGGGUAGGUCGCUAGAGGUGUGCGGCGACGUACACCCAAGAUGAAUGAUUGCCACCGUAAUAGGGCGGCGGCCCAAAUUGCGGAACAGAACCCGGCUUACAGGUCGGCUCCCUUU
rnacentral:RNase_P_RNA from 1 species